AUAUAUAUAUAUAUAUAUGACAAUGCGCAGUUUACAGAAUUUUUGAGGAUCCAUUGGAAGCAUGAUAGGUUAGUUUUCUGUGGUCCUGUGCAGCUGGCGAAGAAUCGUUACUUAGUCCUUCUGUGUCCUCUAGAUGAAUGGUGUGCUAGUGUGAGCAAUUGCAGUAGGAAAAGAUGCAAAGAGUUAAAAAGAACUUUCAAACAAUUCGUGGACCAAGAAAAUACCAUGUACAAGUUCAUGAAGAAUUACUGUAGAUAAAUUUAUGAGCUUUGAAACAAACCUUUCCGAUUUUCCAUCAGCAGCUGCUGCCAGCCUGCAAGUGUACAGUUCUUGAGUAGCAUUCCCGAUCUAGGAUAAUAGUCAUGCAAGUGUGCAGCCUGCUUUGGAACAUAAUAGUCAUGAUCUGACAGAUUACUGCUACACAAAGAUUGUAGAAAAAUACAACCAAGCACUACAAUAUCUUUGGUAAAUGCAACUGGAAGCUUAUCUAGGAUUUUAUUUGUCUCUAUGCUAUAAAGAUGAAGUUACCUAAUUGUUCCAGCAAAUAUGAAAGUUUAUGAUAUACAACUAUAUCAAGGAGGCCUGCAAAGCGGUUCAAGCCUCCAAUGGUGGGAAACAAACAAGUGUCUCCGCUGGUGAUAAGGUCUCCGCUAGUGACUGGUUCUCCAAUGAUGAGGUUGGUUGUGUCACCUGUGGUGAUGGGGCCAAGGUCGACAUCACAUAGCCCGACAAGUCCUGUAUUGGCACCACAUGCUCCAGAGAGGUCCCCAUCCCGUUCCACAUCGCUAUCGCCAAACUUGGAUGAUCAAACAAUAUCAAUGGAUAAUCCUGUGUGAAAGUAGCAUUGGAAUCGGAAGAAUCAAGUGGAAACAAAACUGUUGCAUCGAUGGUUCAUCGAAUGAAGAACAAAUUUGCUAAAUAUUGGAUGAUAUCAUACUUAUCUAAUUGCAUACCAGUAAUACAUGAUCCACGGUUCAAGUUUUGGUUUGUUGAUUUUCGCUUAAAGCAAGCUUUUGGAGACACAGCCAGUGUUCAUAUUGCUAAAGUAGAAAGAGCUAUAAGAAGUUUGUUCAAUGGUUACUCAUCUGAAAUGGGAGAGUCCUUGCAGUCUUCUACUCAAGGAAAUGGCACUGCAUCUUCAUUAAAAGGUCACUGGGCUGAUUGGAGUACACAUGUAAGUGCUGAAAGCAAUCAAGUCACUGGGAAACUCGACAGAUAUCUUCAUGAUGAUCUAUUUCCAUGUGACGAUGACAGCUUCGAUAUCUUGCACUGGUGGAAGAUGCACACAACAAAGUACCCGAUUGUAGCACGUAUGGCCUGGGAUGUAUUGGCUGCGCCUGCAUCAACGGUACUUCUGAAUCCGCUUUCAGUACAGGAGGCCGAAUCAUCUCUGACCAUAGAACUAGGCUGUCAGGCAACACUGUGGAAGGUUUGAUUUGCUUCUAGGAUUGGCUUAGAGAAUCAGGUUCAUCUUACUUGGACAUCAUAAAGAUUAACAGCUCCGGUAGCAGCAUUGAAGAGCUUGGAGUUGCAUGAUGACUUGAAAGACAAGGUAAGAGUUCCUAUUGGGAAAUUCUUGUUGGAGCUUCCAGCUGGGAAGCUAGAUGAUGAAAAAGGUGAUUUUGUUGGCACCGCAGUUCGUGAGCUAUUGGAGGCGAGCACAUAUCAGCUACAUCUGCUGAAUAUCUUUCAGUUUUGUUUGAUGGAGAUGGAAUCAUUGGUGGGAUUCUUGCUGGCUUCAUAUCUGAUCAGCUCAAUGCUAGGGACAAAAUAAGUGUCAAGUGAUUGGGAUAGCAUCUGUUGUGGUAUUUGUCAAGUGACGGUCCAUCCACAGUAGAAUUUUGGAUUCAUCAAGCAUUGUGACGAUGAAUUAAGGCUGUGUAGAUGAUGUCAAUGAUGUUUGUUUUUAGUGUAGAUGGUAACUCAACAUGCGAUAAUCAUUUUGUGGUAUCCUUUUAUUAAGUCUGAACUGCCAUCGUCCUGCAGUUUU